UACGUAGGGGCCUAGCGUUGUCCGGAAUUAUUGGGCGUAAAGAGCUCGUAGGCGGUUCGGCAAGUCGGAUGUGAAAUCUCCACGCUCAACGUGGAGGGGCCAUUCGAAACUGCCGUGACUCGAGUCCGGUAGGGGAGUGUGGAAUUCCCGGUGUAGCGGUGAAAUGCGCAGAUAUCGGGAGGAACACCAGUAGCGAAGGCGGCACUCUGGGCCUGUACUGACGCUGAGGAGCGAAAGCGUGGGGAGCGAACAGG
rnacentral:rRNA from 1 species